AUUGAACGCUGGCGGCAGGCCUAACACAUGCAAGUCGAGCGAGCGGCGGACGGGUGAGUAAUGUAUGGGGACUGCCCGAUAGAGGGGGAUAACUACUGGAAACGGUGGCAAUACCGGCUUACAUCGAAGACCCCAUAUGGGAUUAGCUAGUAGGGGGGGUAAAGGCUCCCCUAGGCGACGAUCGCUAGCGGGUCUGAGAGGAUGAUCAGCCACACUGGGACUGAGACACGGCCCAGACUCCUACGGAGGCAGCAGUGGGGAAUAUUGCACAAUGGGCGCAAGCCUGAUACAGCCAUGCCGCGUGUAUGAAGAAGGCCUUAGGGUUGUAAAGUACUUUCAGCGGGGAGGCGUUACCCGCAUAAGAAGCACCGGCUAACUCCGUGCCAGCAGCCGCGGUAAUUC
rnacentral:rRNA from 1 species